rnacentral:rRNA from 1 species
CGGGACGGGUGAGUAAUGUCUGGGAAACUGCCUGAUGGAGGGGGGUAACUACUGGAAACGGUAGCUAAUACCGCAUAACGUCGCAGACCAAAGAGGGGGACCUUCGGGCCUCUUGCCAUCGGAUGUGCCCAGAUGGGAUUAGCUAGUAGGUGGGGUAACGGCUCACCUAGGCGACGAUCCCUAGCUGGUCUGAGAGGAUGGCCAGCCACACUGGAACUGAGACACGGUCCAG